rnacentral:rRNA from 1 species
CAUGCAAGUCGAACGAAGGCCCUAGCUUGCUAGGUGUCCUUAGUGGCGCACGGGUGAGUAACACGUGGGAACAUACCUCAUAGUACGGAAUAACUGCGGGAAACUGUAGCUAAUACCGUAUAUUCCAGAAAUGGGAAAGAUUUAUCGCUAUGAGAUUGGCCCGCGCAAGAUUAGCUUGUUGGUAAGGUAACGGCUUACCAAGGCUCCGAUCUUUAGCUGGUUUGAGAGGAUGAUCAGCCACACUGGGACUGAGACACGGCCCAGACUCCUACGGGAGGCAGCAGUAGGGAAUAUUGGACAAUGGGGGAAACCCUGAUCCAGCAAUGCAGCGUGAGUGACGAAGGCCUUAGGGUUGUAAAACUCUUUCAUCGGUGAGGAUAAUGACAGUAGCCGAAGAAGAAGGACCGGCUAAUUCCGUGCCAGCAGCCGCGGUAAUACGGAAGGUCCUAGCGUUGUUCGGAAUUACUGGGCGUAAAGCGCAUGUAGGCGGAACAAAAAGUUAGAAGUGAAAUCCCUGGGCUCAACCUAGGAAUUGCUUUUAAAACUUUUGUUCUGGAAUUCAGGAGAGGAAAAUGGAAUUUCCAGUGUAGAGGUGAAAUU